rnacentral:rRNA from 1 species
UACGUAGGGGGCAAGCGUUGUCCGGAAUCAUUGGGCGUAAAGCGCGUGUAGGCGGCCCGGUAAGUCCGCUGUGAAAGUCCAGGGCUCAACCCUGGGAUGCCGGUGGAUACUGUCGGGCUCGAGUCCGGAAGAGGCGAGUGGAAUUCCUGGUGUAGCGGUGAAAUGCGCAGAUAUCAGGAGGAACACCAAUGGCGAAGGCAGCACUCUGGGACGUGACUGACGCUGAGACGCGAAAGCGUGGGGAGCAAACAGG